UUCUUUUGGUUAUAAAGUGCAAUUUGUUAAAUUUACCUCAUUUGAGCCAUUUAUUGAAAUUAUAAAUUUAUUUGAGGCUCCAAAAAUUUUAUAAAAAAUUCAACAGAGUACCGACUAAAAAUGGAAAAUGUUCUCCGGAACCUAUGAAAAACACUUCCAAUACGUUUUCAAUCAUUCCCAAACUCCAUUAUAUCAACAAAGUCUCAAU
rnacentral:misc_RNA from 1 species